GGUCUGUUGCCGAAGUUCAAGCUCUACAUCAAAUAGAUAUUUUCUAUAAAGGUUAUGAUUAUGCAAGUAGCAAAAUUUAUAGGGUUCAACAUUCUGUGAAAACAUAUUUGUCAUCUACAUGUCUACUACUCAUAUUGCCGUAACAAAAAUAGGCUUGACAACAAAUAUGUUAAUUUAAUAUUUGGUUUAUUCUUUCGUAUAUUUUAGCUUUUACGAUGUAUCGUUUUUUUUUUUUUUUUGAAGAAUUUGUGCAUGUACUACGGCGACAAAGUACUGGAUUUCCAAGAGGUAGUUCUAAAUAUAUAGAGGAGCGGCUUUUUCUCAGCUUUGGAGACUUGGGUUUGUUGCAAGUUUUUGUACCAGGUUGAGUGACACAGUCUAGAGUGAGAUAGGCAAAGCAUAUGAAAAAACAACGAUUGAUGGUUCAGUGAGAUUGGAACUAUGAUAUAAAAGUGCAGAAAUUGUUGCCAAGUUUGAGUAGCGCUGAAGAAGAUACAUGGUGAUAUCAUGUAUUGAACAUUAAGAAAGUAUAUAUAUUGGAACUAAAGCAGCAUCUUACGGAGACAGGAAAAGCGUUAGUUUUUGUGUUGAUGAUAAUUGCGACGAACUUCUGAUAUAGUGCCGAGCCGCACAUUGUGUCAUGGUGGAGAAGCACAUUUGAAAUGUUUGCGGCGGAAAAGCUAGAUAGGUUCAAGAAACAACAAGAGAAGUGUCAAUCGACACUCUUCAGAAUUGCGUCGAGCAAAGUUGGUAGCAGAAAACCUAAUACUCCGGUGGUGGCUGCAAAUGCAUCUUCAAAUGGAAGAAAUUCAAAAACUGGUGUUAAAUUCUCAAAUGAUACUGAGAGGCUUCAGCAGAUUAAUAAUAAUAUAUGUAAAGCCCCCGUUGGUGCUCAGAUGAAGCGUGUUAUUGAUCUACAA